GCCCAGGAGUCGUCCAGCGUGGUGCCAGGGGUGGUCGUCGUCCGGGAGGAGGUUGCCGCAGCGUGCCCGGCCGUCCCGGAGGUGCCGGCAAGACCUUCACCAGCCCGUGGGACCGUGUCCGCCUCCGGGCCCAGACCAGCGGUGCAACAGGUGGAGGCGACAGCUCAGGAGUCGGCCAGCGAGGUGCCGGGGGUGGUCGUCGGUCGGGAGGAGGUCGCCGCAGCGGGCCCUGCUGUCCCAGAGGAGCGACAGAAGAUCAUCAAAGCUAAGGCUGUUUUUGUUCCUUCUGUUUGUGUUAGUGAUGUUCAGUCAGAGUCUAGCGCUAAUGCUGUGGCAACAGGGUCUAACAUAGAUAGCAGCAGGAUUAGGCUAGCUAAAGUUGUGCGCGGGUCGUUUCAUCAGGGAAAUGCCCGAUUUGUGUAUGGUGGAGUCCAGUGUAUGGCUAUAGCUUUGGUCAGCUUAGCCAAACACACGGUGAGGAGCGCGUUCUCGUGGGACAGGCUGGAUCUGGAUCGCGCGUUGGUUGAAGGUGAUGAGUU